rnacentral:rRNA from 1 species
UCUUGACAUCCACAGAACUUGCCAGAGAUGGCUUGGUGCCUUCGGGAACUGUGAGACAGGUGCUGCAUGGCUGUCGUCAGCUCGUGUUGUGAAAUGUUGGGUUAAGUCCCGCAACGAGCGCAACCCUUAUCCUUUGUUGCCAGCGGUUAGGCCGGGAACUCAAAGGAGACUGCCAGUGAUAAACUGGAGGAAGGUGGGGAUGACGUCAAGUCAUCAUGGCCCUUACGACCAGGGCUACACACGUGCUACAAUGGCGCAUACAAAGAGAAGCGACCUCGCGAGAGCAAGCGGACCUCAUAAAGUAUGUCGUAGUCCGGAUUGGAGUCUGCAACUCGACUCCAUGAAGUCGGAAUCGCUAGUAAUCGUAGAUCAGAAUGCUACGGUGAAUACGUUCCCGGGCCUUGUACACACCGCCCGUCACACCAUGGGAGUGGGUUGCAAAAGAAGUAGGUAGCUUAACCUUCGGGAGGGCGCUUACCACUUUGUGAUUCAUGACUGGGGUGAAGUCGUAACAAGGUAACCGUAGGGGAACCUGCGGUUGGAUCACCUCCUUACCUUAAAGAA